GAUGAACGCUGGCGGCGUGCCUAAUACAUGCAAGUCGAGCGAACGGACGAGAAGCUUGCUUCUCUGAUGUUAGCGGCGGACGGGUGAGUAACACGUGGAUAACCUACCUAUAAGACUGGGAUAACUUCGGGAAACCGGAGCUAAUACCGGAUAAUAUUUUGAACCGCAUGGUUCAAAAGUGAAAGACGGUCUUGCUGUCACUUAUAGAUGGAUCCGCGCUGCAUUAGCUAGUUGGUAAGGUAACGGCUUACCAAGGCAACGAUGCAUAGCCGACCUGAGAGGGUGAUAGGCCGCCCUGGAACUGGGACACGGACCAGACUCCUACGAGAGGCAGCAGUAGGGAAUCUUCCGCAAUGGGCGAAAGCAUGACGGAGCAACGCCGCGUGAGUGAUGAAGGUCUUCGGAUCGUAAAACUCUGUUAUUAGGGAAGAACAUAUGUGUAAGUAACUGUGCACAUCUUGACGGUACCUAAUCAGAAAGCCACGGCUAACUACGUG
rnacentral:rRNA from 1 species